AAAAAAAAAAAAAAAAAAAAAACCCUGCUCACAUCAAGAAGGUGCUGUCGGCAUUGUGUAUUACUGAGAUGAAAAAGAAAAACCUGCUGACAUCAAGAAGGAGCAGUUGCAAUGAAUAAUAAUCGUAAGUAUUUUUUAUAUCUUAAUAUCAAUUAUAUGUUUUACACUUUAAUCACCAAGUAUGAAUUAUAUCAUACUGUGUUAUUUGAGAUUUUUGUACGAAAAAACUCAUAGUAUAUCAGUUCUAUUUUUAUAUUACCUUUUCACUUUAAGAUUACAAUUAUUCCGACUCAGAUAGAAGCGAUACCGAGGAUAAAUUCUAAAAUAUUUUAACCAAAUAUUAUGUUAGUUAUAAGAUUAUUAUUGAAUUUUAGGAGCAGUCGAGAAAAAGAAUCAUUGUAAUUAUAUUUUAUAUCUUAAUAUAUAAAUUACGUGUCACGUUGUUUGUCCGCGAUUGACUCCUAAACUAUUUGACCGAUUUUAAUCAAAUUUGUACACCGUGUGUAGUUUAAUAUAACUUAAAAGAUAUGAUAACUUACAUCUCAAUUAUAACUACAAUAUUAUUUUAUUGCAAAUUUAUUAAUUAAAAACUAACUUUCCCACCAAAAAAAUCUUUAAUUUUCCCACCGCCAAACGAGUAAGGUUUUUAUCCAACAGUAAUGAGGCUAGGCUUAAGAUUUAUCGGCUGAUUAUUUUCAAAUGAUUCUGUUUAUUUUCUUAAUGUUUGAUGCAUUUAAAAUUAAACAUUGUUAAUUAAUUGGUCUUUCAGAUUCAUUCUGAAGUACUUUAUCGGUCUUUCAGAUUCAUUCUGAAGUACUUUUGAAUUAAAACAGUGUUACCCAAACAGGCGUAGAAAAAUUCACCCAUGCGUAUUGUGUUCUAAUUGUUGACAAUAUUAUCAACGGAUAAUUCUUUAGUUUUAGCUUUUGUAAUUAAAUUUUAUUUAUGUUCGUUCUAUAUUUUUUGUACAUGUAUAUAGUUUUAAGUACAUUAUUUUUUAAGAAGUUUUUUUAAACAUGUUUUUGAUCGAUUAUUUAAUACGAUUCAUUUUAUUUUCUUAGUGUUUGAUGCAUUUAAAAUUUAAUUAAUAAAUCUUCUCACGAUUAAUCUGAGAAAAUUUUGUUAACAAAUUCUUGAAAUAUUACAUAAAUUAAGAUAUAUAUUCUUUAGUACCCAUAAAGUUUAAACGCUCAGUGACUCUGUUUUCAUAAAUCAUAUUAUAAAAAAAACUGAGCUGAAAUUAAAUUUAGCGCAUGUGCUGAUUUUGGAAAACAACGAGUGAUUAUAGCCACGUCCUUUACUUCAAGGUUGUCUCAUUACUUACAAAGAGGAAAUAAGAUUAACGAGCAUUAAUAUUGGUGAGUUAGCUGGUCACCAAAGGCGGCUAAUUAAUUAUAUUUUUUACACUUUAAUCACCAAGCAUGAAUUAUAUCAUACUGUGUUAUUUGAGUUUUUUGUACGAAAAAACUCGUAGUAUAUCGGUGCCAAUAUAUUAUAUAAUAUUUAUUUUAUAUUACCUUUUCACUUUAAGAUAAUUAUUCAGACUCGGACUCGGACUCAGGUACAGAGAGAAGAAGAAAAAAUUGUAAGUAAAUUAUUAUUUAUUAUGUAAAUAAUUUUUUCUUAUGCGGUAUUAUAAUACUUAUCCGAUUGAGAGGAAACUGAAUAUUUUAUACAUGUUCUUUUUUUUAUUUCAGUUAAAAAUCUAAACCAAGCCGCCCAAAAUAAAAUUUUCCAAGACCUAAUAUCUAUGAUUAGAUUUUUUAUUAGGCACAAGUAUGUAUAUAAAGAAUUACUUAUAAUUAUAUUCAUCUAUAAUAACUGCACAGCGAGCAUAUAUUUCUCCGCAUAGUGUUUUAACUCUCGAAAUGUGCAAUUGUGGUAGAUAUAUAUUCAUUCCUAAUGAUUCAAAUAUAUGAUACCUGUAGUUUUAUUUAUUAAUUUUUUGUACAUUUAGUUACAUAACAUGAUGUAUAACAAAAGACAUCUAAUUUAUUGUUCAAAUAAAAAAAAAAUUCUAGUCUCAAAUGUCAUAUUAAAUCACACUUGUAAAUUUAUUUAUAAUUUUGUUAUUUUUUUUUUUUUCAGAAACUACAAGGAUUUGAUUAUCACAUCUAAACACCUAGAGGCAUUAGAAUUAUUCACAAAAAAGAUGUAUAAGGAAUAUAAAAAAAAAUAAGACAAACAGAAUUGAAACAAGAAGGUUUUUGAAAAAUUUUACAAUUGUAACUGGAAAAAAAUUAUAUGUUAUUAAAUAAAAUUCUAUGUGUUGAGAAAAGUGUAUAGUUUCAAUUUACAAUUAUUAUUAUAAAAUGAAUAUUAUGAAUCUAGAGAUUAUUUUGGUCUGGACGAUCGGGAUUUAAAUAUCCCGAUCGAAAAUGCAUCUAUAGAAAUGCCAACGCAAUUACCUAAUGAUGCACAACUUAUAGAUGCAAUAAAGGAUUGGUUAAAGAGCCCAAAUUUUGACUUUUUACAAAACCUUGAACCAAAUCCUCCAGACUUGCCACUGGAUCUGUAUGAAGAUUUGUUUGAUUAGUUGUUGUUUUUGUGUAAAUUUUUAUAUAUUUCAUUUAUUAUUUAUAUAUUUUAUUAUUUAUUUAUUUAUUUAUUGUAUAUAUAUUU